GUUUGAUUCUGGCUCAGAAUGAACGCUGGCGGCGUGCUUAACACAUGCAAGUCGUACGUGAAAGAAGGGCAACCUUCAAGUAAAGUGGCGCACGGGUGAGUAACACGUGGAUAACCUGCCCCAAAGUCUGGGAUAACGCGCCGAAAGGUGCGCUAAUACCGGGUACCUUUAUGCCUCACAAGAGGUAUAAAGAAAGGAGGCCUCUGCUUGCAAGCUUCUGCUUUGGGAUGGAUCCGCGGCCUAUCAGGUAGUUGGUAGGGUAAUGGCCUACCAAGCCUACGACGGGUAGCUGGUCUGAGAGGACGAUCAGCCACAUUGGGACUGAGACACGGCCCAGACUCCUACGGGAGGCAG
rnacentral:rRNA from 1 species